CCACCUACGUGAGAAAAAACAGACCUCCUUCCCUCUCCUCGCACGCUAAAGGAAAAAAAACACGUACACAUGUCCCACCCCCACUCCCCUUCCCCGAAUCCCUCGCCGCUGAUCCCAUGCCGAUGAACCGCCGCCGACGACUUCCUCUUAUCCACGGUGUCCUCUGCGGCCAAGGAGGAGCUCGACGCGCCCGCGCGCGGGGGGAGCAGUAGCGCCGACGUCUUCCUCUUAUCCACGGCGUCCUCUGCGGCCACUCGACGCGCCCGCACGCGGGGGGAGCAGGAGCGGCGCGGUGGCUACAAUGAUGGACGGCACCCAGAACUAAUUCAGCGGUGAGCUGGAGCGCGUCACAUCUUCUCAUAGCCUCGCCAUCAAUCAACUGGCUUCUCAAUCGAGCUUGCAGUACUUCCUCAAGGUUGCCUUCUGCUCCCGUGUUGUCGCUAAUCCAGGCUUAGUGCGGUCCAGCAACCGAUGGCGGGUGGGCGUGUGAAGCUACCGUUCUAAGGGUGCUCGUGGCACUUGUUUGAGCACAAGACUGGGGCGACGUCCUAAGGACACGCUGCGAUGUGGAAAUGAUAAAGUCAGCGGUGAUGACCAGGGCCGUGGCGGUGGACCGGAGGCAAGGUUGCACUGUCACUGCGUUGAUUCAUCCUCUCUCUAUCUCACACACACUUAACCCAUCCAUUUAUCUCUCUGCUAAUUCUUCACUCGUGUAAAAGUUGCUGGAGGUUGCUACUGCAGGAAUAUGGUUUGCGCCCAUCGAUCUCUUGGAGUGAUUCGAACCUUGGAAACAUAACCUGCUACUUCACUCGGCCCGAGAAACUGGGUGCUCUCUGGUGGCAGGGCGAUCAAUGCUGGUUCUGCUAGAGUUCCUCCGUUGCCCCGGCAGUAUAGAAGGAAUUACUGUGGGAAGCAAUUGCACGCGUAUUUGGAGGAGGGGUGCAUCCAGUUGACUCCCAAAAACCAGGGCUUCAGAGUGAAGCUCAAAUGGCAGGGGCUAAAACUCUAAUCGUUUCCUAAAAAAAUCUGUUAACUUCAUAUGGGCCUGAACUAUAGGAUUUCUUGCUUUAUUGAAUAAUCUUGUUGUUCAUAAUCUAGCCAGCUAGGUACAAAGAUUAUAGGAAAUGUGGAUCUUUGUCUCUUGUGCUCGGCUAUUUCUACUGUAAUUAAAUCUGGAGUUUUAUCUGAAUAAUAAUUCCAUACUAUGCUUGUGUCA